rnacentral:lncRNA from 1 species
UUGGAUUAUUGUCUUUCUUAAGAGAUUUUUUUUUUUUAAUGCCUGUUUGGCAGUCUUGAUUGUUGGUUUAAAUGGGCCAGCAUCCUGCCCUGUGGUGGGAGGCCAUGUGUGGGCUAAGUCAUAUUCGAAAUGGCAUGAGACUGGUUGAGCCGAGUCACAAUCGAGACUCGUGGGUGCUGUAUUUAUACGUUUUAAGUGAAUUGGUUGCGUAUUUCUAUCAGCUCGAGCUUUUGGGAUUAAUGGUUAGCGCCAACGAUCCGACAUUGAUUUCUAACAUU